rnacentral:rRNA from 1 species
GAUGAACGCUGGCGGCGUGCCUAAUACAUGCAAGUCGAGCGAACAGACGAGGAGCUUGCUCCUCUUACGUUAGCGGCGGACGGGUGAGUAACACGUGGAUAACCUACAUAUAAGACUGGGAUAACUUCGGGAAACCGGAGCUAAUACCGGAUAAUAUAUUGAACCGCAUGGUUCAAUAGUGAAAGACGGUUUUGCUGUCAAUUAUAGAUGGAUCCGCGCCGCAUUAGCUAGUUGGUAAGGUAACGGCUUACCAAGGCAACGAUGCGUAGCCGACCUGAGAGGGUGAUCGGCCACACUGGAACUGAGACACGGUCCAGACUCCUACGGGAGGCAGCAGUAGGGAAUCUUCCGCAAUGGGCGAAAGCCUGACGGAGCAACGCCGCGUGAGUGAUGAAGGUCUUCGGAUCGUAAAACUCUGUUAUUAGGGAAGAACAAAUGUGUAAGUAACUAUGCACGUCUUGACGGUACCUAAUCAGAAAGCCACGGCUAACUACGUG